rnacentral:rRNA from 1 species
UGGGGAAUAUUGGACAAUGGGGGGAACCCUGAUCCAGCCAUGCCGCGUGUGUGAAGAAGGCCUUAUGGUUGUAAAGCACUUUAAGCGAGGAGGAGGGUACUGGUAUUAAUACUACCAGGUACUGGACGUUACUCGCAGAAUAAGCACCGGCUAACUCUGUGCCAGCAGCCGCGGUAAUACAGAGGGUGCGAGCGUUAAUCGGAUUUACUGGGCGUAAAGCGUGCGUAGGCGGCUAAUUGAGUCGGAUGUGAAAUCCCCGAGCUUAACUUGGGAAAUGCAUUCGAUACUGGUUAGCUAGAGUGUGGGAGAGGAUGGUAGAGUUCCAGGUGUAGCGGUGAAAUGCGUAGAGAUCUGGAGGAAUACCGAUGGCGAAGGCAGCCAUCUGGCCUAACACUGACGCUGAGGUACGAAAGCAUGGGGAGCAAACAGG